rnacentral:lncRNA from 1 species
AUUUGAGAAUGAAGCUCAGCUGAAGUUUGAACAGCAUACUGACAUAUACCAACAAGAAUGAAAAUAACUUAACAGCAAUUUUAUAAAUUCACAUCCCCCAGAGCACCACAGAGUAAAGAAAUACUGCAUAUGGGUAACAACUGGUUCUUAGUUACUAAAUCUGAAAGAUCAAAUACAGUUAAUUACAUAAGCUUCUCUUGAGUUUUUCUGGGGGAAUAUACCAGGAGACCAUAAUCAAGCGCUUUCAGCAUCACCAGUGGCAUUUCAUACUGGUCCCAUGGUGUUAAUCCAGGUUUCUGGUAUUGCACUAAACACGAUGAAAAACAGGAGAGAACGGAGAGGGAUCAUGUUUUACCACAAUAUGCAAUUUAUGGGAGAGAUGAAGCGCUCAGGUGGAGAUGACUAGUGUCACGUGGUGUUUUAAGUGGAUACUCACAACGCUGGAACUCACAGCAAUAACAACAAGAGAUCCUCUAUAGACUGUUGAUGUAUAGCCAUGAGAAAAAAAAAAGAAAAAUUUUUGCUCUCAAUGAGCUUGCAUUUAAGCAUCUAUAAAAGGUGAGAUUAAUAUUUACUCAGUGAACUUUGAGUAAAGCAUUGGGUGCUUCAUUAUGUGGAGGAGUCUCAUCCAAUCAGUUGAAGGUGACUGAAUGGAACUAUAGAUCGACCUCACAUAAAUGAGAGGGAAUUCUGCAACAGAUCAUCUUUGCCUUUGAACUGCAGCAUGGACUCCCCUCUGGGUCUCCUGCCUGCCAGCCCACCCUGCAGAGUGCAUUUGCCAGCCUCCACAAUCAGGUAAUUUAUCCUGUGCAUUAACAAGAGGAAGUCUAGAGCCAUGGAAACCAAGUCAGGAAACUUCUCUCUUAUUAUUAGGUCCACUGCAAAUCUAGUUGAGACUGCAAAUCGAGUUUAGUCACCACCUCCGAGGAACUGUGUCCCGCAU